GGUCCGGCUACCGGACCCUGUUUGCGGGAAGGCACUAACCCUGCUCCGUAGGGCCGCGGGUUCAAAUCCCGCCCGGUCCACCA
rnacentral:tRNA from 1 species